rnacentral:rRNA from 14 species
ACUAAGCGCAUACGGUGGAUGCCUUGGCAGUCAGAGGCGAUGAAGGACGUGUUAAUCUGCGAAAAGCGUAGGUAAGGUGAUAAAACCCGUUAUAACCUACGAUGUCCGAAUGGGGAAACCCGGCCUUAGGGUCAUCUGUAACUGAAUUCAUAGGUUGCAGAAGCAAACGAGGGGAACUGAAACAUCUAAGUACCCUCAGGAAAAGAAAUCAAUUGAGAUUGCCUUAGUAGCGGCGAGCGAACGGGUAACAGCCGAUGGUUUAUGUUGUAGUGGAAUCUUCUGGGAAGUUGAGCGAUACAGGGUGAUAGCCCCGUACACGAAGCAACAUAAAGCACAUAUUAAGUAGGACGGGACACGUGUUAUCUUGUCUGAAGAUGGGGGGACCAUCCUCCAAGGCU